AAGCAGAUGGUAACAAACUCUACUUUCAAAAAUUACAUUCCGACAUGAAUGGCCUUUAUGAUUGUGAAGCCUCAAACAUCUAUGGGUCAGCAACAUGUUCAUUGCAGUUUUAUAUAAUUUCAACUUCCAGUGAGUAUUUGUUCAAUUUAAAUUAUUUACUGAUUUCUUAUGUUUUAACCGUUUUAUCAUGUCUAGUUUACUGAGCUGUACUGUAUGCAAUAUAUUUUUUAUAUAUAUAUAUAUAUAAAGAUGUAAAAAAUUUGACAAUAAAUUGUUUGAUUUUAAUUAUGAAUGAAUUAUUUGUUGCAUUGGAUCUGCUAGUUGUAGAUAUGAGGUACAGCAGGAAGUACAUUAUUAGGAAUGUGACGAUCACUUUUGUCAUUUCAGGAGAUAAGUUUUUUUUUUGGAUUCCAUUCACAGUGUUCCUGUGUUUCCUUACAUCUUGCAUAUUCAAUAACAGAUCUGCGCUGAAAAGUAGUGUGACUGCAUUAAUGACCAGGUUUCAGGCUCCAGAUUCAAGAAGGCAGAUUGAAGACUCU